rnacentral:rRNA from 1 species
UAUGCAUGAAGAAAUAAUUUCAGGAAAUUUUUAAAAAUUAUUAGGUAGAAUUUUAAUUUUUAUAAAUAACAUUUAUAAUAUGCAUUAUAAUUAUAAUUAGGACCAGGAUUAGAUACCCUGUUACUUAUAUUUAAAAAAUUUUGGAAUAGUAAUAUUAAUGAAAUUUAACGGAUUUGGCGGCAAGAUAGCCAUUUAGAGGAAUCUGUCCUAUAAACGAUGAUCCACGAUUUAACUUUACUUUUAUUUGAAUUUCAGUUUGUAUACCGCUGUUGUCAGUCAGUUUCUUUAGAAAACUUUCAUUAAUGAUAAAUUCAUUGACUUCAAGUAAAGGUGCAGCUUAUAUAAAAGACAGAGAUGGGUUACAUUUAAUUGAUUAAAACGGAUAAAGUUUAUGAAAAUAGCUUUUGAAGGUGGAUUUAAUUGUAAAGUUUAUAUAAACUUGAUGAGAGCUCUAUCUUGUGUACACACCGCCCGUCGCUCUCUUUUUUAAAC